UUAUGGUGUAUUGUAUUAAAAUAUUUUAAUAUUUAAGUAAGGGCAAAUCUUCAAAAUAACACCUUUCUAAGUUUAUGUCACAAAAAUAGCACUCAAAAAUUAAAAUGACCAAAAUAGCAUUUUAUCUUUUGAAAAAUUUAAAUUUUUUUUAUUUUUCAAAAUUUAAAAUCUUAUCCCAAAACCCCACUCCCCAACUCUAAACCCUAAAACCUAAACCCUAAAACCUAAACCCUAAACCCUAAAUCCUAAACUCCACCCCUUAACUCUAAACCCUAAACCCACCCCUAAACUCUAAACCCUAAACCCUAAACCCUAAACCCUAAAUCCUAAACCCCACCCCUUAACUCUAAACCCUAAUGUCUAAAUUAAUUUACCAUUAGGGUAUAAGUGUAUAUUUAUCUCUUUUGAUAAAACAUUAAGUGUUAUUUUGGUCAUUUUUAUUCU
rnacentral:lncRNA from 1 species